rnacentral:rRNA from 1 species
AGUGAACGCUGGCGGUAGGCCUAACGCAUGCAAGUCGAACGGCAGCACAGUAAGAGCUUGCUCUUACGGGUGGCGAGUGGCGGACGGGUGAGGAAUACAUCGGAAUCUACUUUUUCGUGGGGGAUAACGUAGGGAAACUUACGCUAAUACCGCAUACGACCUACGGGUGAAAGCAGGGGAUAUUCGGACCUUGCGCGAUUGAAUGAGCCGAUGUCGGAUUAGCUAGUUGGCGGGGUAAAGGCCCACCAAGGCGACGAUCCGUAGCUGGUCUGAGAGGAUGAUCAGCCACACUGGAACUGAGACACGGUCCAGACUCCUACGGGAGGCAGCAGUGGGGAAUAUUGGACAAUGGGCGCAAGCCUGAUCCAGCCAUACCGCGUGGGUGAAGAAGGCCUUCGGGUUGUAAAGCCCUUUUGUUGGGAAAGAAAAGCAGCAGGUUAAUACCCCGCUGUUCUGACGGUACCCAAAGAAUAAGCACCGGCUAACUUCGUG